rnacentral:rRNA from 5 species
GGAUGAGAUAAGAUUUUCAGCCUGAUACAGAUUAAAUCAGAACGCAGAAGCGGUCUGAUAAAACAGAAUUUGCCUGGCGGCAGUAGCGCGGUGGUCCCACCUGACCCCAUGCCGAACUCAGAAGUGAAACGCCGUAGCGCCGAUGGUAGUGUGGGGUCUCCCCAUGCGAGAGUAGGGAACUGCCAGGCAUCAAAUAAAACGAAAGGCUCAGUCGAAAGACUGGGCCUUUCGUUUUAUCUGUUGUUUGUCGGUGAACGCUCUCCUGAGUAGGACAAAUCCGCCGGGAGCGGAUUUGAACGUUGCGAAGCAACGGCCCGGAGGGUGGCGGGCAGGACGCCCGCCAUAAACUGCCAGGCAUCAAAUUAAGCAGAAGGCCAUCCUGACGGAUGGCCUUUUUGCGUUUCUACAAACUCUU